CACUCUGUAUAAAACAAGUGAGGGUCCACGGUAAACUAUCAAUAACUUUUUCGAAAAGCCAAGAUGAACACGACAAAAGCAGUCUGCCUCGUCGCCUUACUCGUCCUCCUGAUGAUCGCAAGCUCUCAGGGAAGCUUGUUGCUCAAAUCACUCCUGCUGAAAAGAGGUAUUCUGCCCUACCCAGCAGUGCUGCCUGUUCCUGUGAACCCUCUACUUCUCAAACCACACCCUCUCUUAUUGUUGUAAUUUUUUUUAUAAACGUUUAUACAUCAUUCAUUUUAUACGUCCAUUUUAUAUAGUCAAUUUUUUUACUGUUUUUCUCGUUUAAUUAUAUUAUUGUGAAUUAAUA